CUCGGCAACGGAUAUCUCGGCUCUCGCAUCGAUGAGGAACGUAGCGAAAUGCGAUACUUGGUGUGAAUUGCAGAAUCCCGUGAACCAUCGAGUCUUUGAACGCAAGUUGCGCCCGAAGCCAUUAGGCUGAGGGCACGUCUGCCUGGGCGUCACGC
rnacentral:rRNA from 1 species